rnacentral:rRNA from 1 species
UUGGAGGGCAAGUCUGGUGCCAGCAGCCGCGGUAAUUCCAGCUCCAAUAGCGUAUAUUAAAGUUGUUGCAGUUAAAAAGCUCGUAGUUGAAUUUCGGGAUCAAGGUGCCGGUCAUGCCUUUGGUAUGUACUGACAUCAUUGAUUUCUCCCUUCUGAUGAACUGUGAUGUCAUUAAUUUGGUGUCAUGGAGAAUCAGGACUUUUACUUUGAAAAAAUUAGAGUGUUUAAAGCAAGCUCACGCUUGAAUACAUUAGCAUGGAAUAAUGAAAUAGGACGUUUGAUCCUAUUUUGUUGGUUUCUAGGAUUGACGUAAUGAUUAAUAGGGAUAGUUGGGGGCAUUAGUAUUCAAUUGUCAGAGGUGAAAUUCUUGGAUUUAUUGAAGACUAACUACUGCGAAAGCAUUUGCCAAGGAUGUUUUCAUUAAUCAAGAACGAAAGUUAGGGGAUCGAAGACGAUCAGAUACCGUCGUAGUCUUAACCAUAAACUAUGCCGACUAGGGAUCGGAUGAUGUUAAUUUUUUAAUGACUCAUUCGGCGCCUUACGGGAAAC